GUACAUUGGGGCUGGAGGUGUGGCUUAGGUGUUUGGAAGGAUUUUCUAGAUAAUUAAGCCACACCUCCAGCCCCAAUGUACUU
rnacentral:miRNA from 1 species